rnacentral:rRNA from 1 species
GAUGAACGCUGGCGGCGUGCCUAAUACAUGCAAGUCGAGCGAACAGACGAGGAGCUUGCUCCUCUGACGUUAGCGGCGGACGGGUGAGUAACACGUGGAUAACCUACCUAUAAGACUGGGAUAACUUCGGGAAACCGGAGCUAAUACCGGAUAAUAUAUUGAACCGCAUGGUUCAAUAGUGAAAGACGGUUUUGCUGUCACUUAUAGAUGGAUCCGCGCCGCAUUAGCUAGUUGGUAAGGUAACGGCUUACCAAGGCAACGAUGCGUAGACGACCUGACAGGGGGGUAGGCCACACUGGAGGUGAGACACGCUCCAGGCUACUGAGGGAGGCAGCAGUAGGGAAUCUGCCGCAGUGGGCGAAAGCCUGACGGAGCAACGCCGAGUGAGUGAUGAAGGCCUUCGGAUCGUAAAACUCUGUUAUUAGGGAAGAACAAAUGUGUAAGUAACUAUGCACGUCUUGACGGUACCUAAUCAGAAAGCCACGGCUAACUACGUG